rnacentral:tRNA from 1 species
GUUAAAGUAGCUCAAUUGGUUAGAGCGUGUGAUUGUUAACUAUAAGAUUGAAAGUUCAAGUUAUUUUUUUAACG